ensembl:lncRNA
GCUACUGUUAUUUAAUUGUUGGUGAUUUAUUUUCUUGUUGUUGGGCCGCGUGCUGCCGUGUUCUUUUAGCGGCCAGUAUGACGGCCCCACGGUCGCAGUUUUUGAGUAAACUCACGCGGCGCCACGGUGUUAAAGUGGCGUCCGCGGUGAGCGUGGAAGACUGUUGUCUAGCUGUAGGAGAAGUUAUAGGACAUGAGAACAUCAUGUCAGCUUCUAAAAUGAAUAGUGCUAUAGUUAUUUUUCUUAACUCUGUAGAAAAGGCAAAUGAGUUGGUUGAGACUGGAAUUGUUGUUGACAAUCUUUUUACUCCAGUCCUUCCACUUUCCAUACCGUCCAAAAAAGUGCUGCUGUCAAAUGUUCCCCCUUUCAUAAGUGAUGAAACAUUAGUGAGAAUUAUGUCUCGAUAUGGCAAAUUGGUGUCACCUAUUAAGAUGAUACCAAUUGGUUGCGGUUCGCCUCUCUUGAAACAUGUGGUGUCGUUUAGACGUUUCGUUUACAUGAUUUUAAAAGAUGACGAGGAGCUCGAUCUAUCACUGCAUCUUAAAGCCGAUGAUUUUGACUAUGUUAUCUAUGUUACAACGGACAAAAUGAAAUGUUUUAAUUGCGGGGAGACGAGUCACUUGGUCCGCGCUUGCCCUGUUAAAAAUAAAGUAAACAACUCAGCGAAUGAUGUUACAGCAGGCGAGCCUGUUGAGGCUGGGCCGCCUGUGGCAGAAACAGGUGCAGUGGAGGAGAAAACUAUUGUGGAUUCGUCUGAGAGUGAGGGCGCAGCGAAUGUGAUUCAGGAAACUGAUCCCAAAGAUGCGGUUGAUGUAAAUGCAUCGGCCACUGCGAGUGCUGAAAGCUUGAAUGUUCAGUCUCGUAAGUCUGCUUUUAAGACGGACAAGAGACAAAGCGAUAGCGCGGUCAACGUUUGUCAGCCCGUUUUGGUUGGUGAUGUCAUUGAAAUGGAGACGGGCCAAAGUGAAUUCAAAGUUCCAUCUAAAAGAAAAAAAUCUGUUGAGUGUCAAGCCGUUAAGGCUAAGAAAGUAGAUGUAGAGGAGGUUUAUGGUGAAGACGGAAUAGAAAGUGGCAGUGAGUCUUCCGAUUCCAGUGUCAGUUUAUCUCAGAGUGAUUUUUCUAGCCAAAGUUAUGAAGUGGAUGACAUUAAGCUUUUUCUCAGAGCCACCAAAAAUAAGAGAGGGGUGCGUGUUG